rnacentral:rRNA from 1 species
AACGUAGGAGGCGAGCGUUAUCCGGAUUUACUGGGCGUAAAGCGCACGCAGGUGGGUCUGCAGGUCGGACAUGAAAGCUCCUGGCUUAACUGGGAGAGGUGGUUCGAAACCGCAGGGCUUGAGGUUGGGAGAGGGACGUGGAAUUCCCGGUGUAGUGGUGGAAUGCGUAGAUAUCGGGAGGAACACCAGUGGCGCAAGCGGCGUCCUGGCCCACACCUGACGCUGAGGUGCGAAAGCGUGGGGAGCAAACAGG